rnacentral:rRNA from 1 species
UACGGGGGGAGCAAGCGUUGUUCGGAAUCACUGGGCGUAAAGGGCGUCUAGGCGGUUCGGUAAGUGGGAUGUGAAAUGCCCGGGCUCACCCCGGGACCUGCAUCCCAAACUGCUGAGCUUGAGUACAGGAGAGGGUGGGGGAAUUCCAGGUGUAGCGGUGAAAUGCGUAGAUAUCUGGAGGAACACCGGUGGCGAAGGCGCCCACCUGGCCUGUUACUGACGCUGAAGCGCGAAAGCUAGGGGAGCAAACGGG